CUGCGUUUCACUUCUUGCAGCUGAGUACUGAGUUUACAUCACAACAGCCACAAAACCAUGACUGCAGUCACCGUUGAAUACUGUAAAGGAUGAAGUUAUGCUUUUCGCUACCGGGAACUAGCUGGUCUCCUCCGGCAGGUUCCUGGUGUGAGGGUAACGGGAGUCACAGGAGAAACCGACAGUUUUGAAGUAUCAGUGAAUGGUGAGCUAAUCUACUCCAAGCUUAAGACGGGACAAUUUCCUGAUAACGAAGAGGUGACAGAGAAGGUGAGAGCAAUGGUUCCAAAAACGAAGAGAGCAGAAAAGAACUGGAAACAGAAAUGCUCGACCCAUUAGGAGAUGGAGGGUGAAACAGCAGCUGUAUUCACACCGACAGACCGUCUGUGUGUUUACUUAUUCUCUAACCAAUUAACAAAAGCAUAAAAAAAAGGACAUUAACAUAUUUUAACCAUUGGAUGUUGAUGAAAACUCACCGAUCAGACCGUGUGUCAUGUUUGCUGUGAACACGAACACAUGCACAUACAGAUGAGAUGUUGUUGAGGGCCCAUCGGAGGUACAGGUCACUGAUCUGCACUUCUGUUUAUGAAUGCACACACUAAAAACAGUGUGUGGUGUGUGCAUGAUGCCAAUAGAGAGGUUUUUCAGCUGACCCUGGCCGUAAGAUGUGCUCUCACAGGUUAUUAAACAUAUCUAUGUUUAGUUUAUAUGUAUUCAUUAUUUGGAUUCACCCUUUUAAGGUAAGCAAAAGCUCUGUUUCUGUGCCUUGAAUACAGUAAUUGUAAAUACACAUAUUUGCUUCCUUGCUGAGCGCUCAAUGAGAAGACUGAUGCCACUCUCAUGUAUCUACCUUAGUUUGGUGCAGGCAGGGGAACAGCAGUCCUGGUUAGCUCCUGAAUUGGCAUGAUUAUAUCUCUUUUUUUCCAUUGUCUUCCAUCAUGUACAUCAUGUUUUAACCGUGUUUUAAGCGGUGGGAAAGUGGGUUUAAACUCUGCUGAGUGCUUGCACCCUGUUUAAAUUCAGAUCUGGUGCUGUGGUCUCUGCGCACUUCCUGUCGUCUGACUGUGGUGUUGUGCAUAUAUUCCUCAAGUGUCAUAUAACUGUGUCAAACAAACAGGAACUGAGGAGAGUUUAAAAUACUUUUGAAGUGUAGCUGAAAAGACAAAUGUUUUCUCACAUCUGCGAAAUGCGCACAAAGAGCUAAAUAUAAUUUUGAUGCCUCGUAGUUUGAUGUGUGUAAGUUGAAGAAAAAAAGACAGUUUGGAAAUUGACUUUUUAGAGACAAAUGAAAUAUAUAAGAUGUUAAUUCUGAUAUGUUCUUGUGAUUUCUAGUCCCUCAUUUCCACUGUUAUGCUGAGCUAAGUGUUGACGGUAUGGAUAAGCUAACUGGCUGCUAGCUGCAGCUUCAGACCUGAGAGUGGCAUCCGUCUGCUAAUCCACUGGGUCUCAAGCCUUUUUAAUAUUCAUUAACAAUAAUAAGGACCUAAGCUGAAUUUUACUAAAACAAAAAUCAGCAUUAUAGUAUUAGAAAACUCUUGUUUUCAGUGUAUCAUUUUUAAAAUAGCGUGCACAACAAAUACUUCAUGAAUCUUUUCUGAGGUAUUUUACUUUAAUGAUGUUUAAUUAGUUGCACAUAUUAAAUAUAUUUGAUUUGAUUUGGAACAUAUUUGAGUUUUUUAAACAUAUUUUGUUAUACUGUUGCUACUUUAUU